UUGCUAAGAUACAUGUGGACUCUUCCCAGA
rnacentral:piRNA from 1 species